rnacentral:rRNA from 1 species
GACGAACGCUGGCGGCGUGCUUAACACAUGCAAGUCGAACGGAGCGAAUGAAAGCUUGCUUUUAUGAGCUUAGUGGCAAACGGGUGAGUAACACGUAGACAACCUGCCGACAGGAUGGGGACAACAUUCCGAAAGGAAUGCUAAUACCGAAUGAAGCGGAGGAGAGGCAUCUCUCUUCCGUGAAAGAUGGCCUCUAUUUAUAAGCUAUCACCUGUCGAUGGGUCUGCGUCUGAUUAGCUGGUUGGUGAGGUAACGGCUCACCAAGGCGACGAUCAGUAGCCGGUCUGAGAGGAUGAACGGCCACAUUGGGACUGAGACACGGCCCAGACUCCUACGGGAGGCAGCAGUGGGGAAUCUUCCGCAAUGGGCGCAAGCCUGACGGAGCAACGCCGCGUGAGUGAAGAAGGUCUUCGGAUCGUAAAGCUCUGUUGAUGGGGACGAACGUGCGA